AUCUGGGUACCAUUUUUCGUUCAGCGCUGGAGAGGGCCUUUGAGUUACAAAUAUUUAGCAUUUGCUGCGACGGUGCCUUAUCACCAAAGCGGGACUUAUUACUUAGUCCGCGUAUUUACACCCCAAUCUUGGAGUCAUCAUUGAAAUGGGCAGCGCAGGUUCACAAAGAAGAUCCAGUGCAGCUACUCAGCCCGGGAAGACAAAUGAUAUAAGUUGCGCAGCUAGUUGUGGUCCACCUUCUCCUCUAUUGAUUAAGCUGCGCAGCCAGCUCGGGUCCUCCUUCUCUUUCGUCGU
rnacentral:lncRNA from 1 species